rnacentral:rRNA from 1 species
GAUGAACGCUAGCGGCAGGCUUAAUACAUGCAAGUCGAGGGACAGCACAGGUAGCAAUACUGGGUGGUAACCGGCAAACGGGUGCGGAACACGUACACAACCUUCCUUUAAGUGGGGGAUAGCCCAGAGAAAUUUGGAUUAAUACCCCGUAAUAUAGUUGAAUGGCAUCAUUUGAUUAUUAUAGCUACGGCGCUUAAUGAUGGGUGUACGGCUGAUUAGAUAGUUGGCGGGGUAACGGCCCACCAAGUCUACGAUCAGUAGCUGAUGUGAGAGCAUGAUCAGCCAAACUGGAACUGAGACACGGGCCCGACUCCUACGGGAGGCAGCAGUAAGGAAUAUUGGUCAAUGGACGCAAGUCUGAACCAGCCAUGCCGCGUGAAGGAUUAAGGUCCUCUGGAUUGUAAACUUCUUUUAUUUGGGACGAAAAAGGGCCUUUCUAGGUCAACUGACGGUACCAGAUGAAUAAGCACCGGCUAACUCCGUGCCAGCCGCCGCAGUAAGAC